rnacentral:tRNA from 3 species
GCCCCCGUAGUUCAAAAGAUAGAACCGCCGCGUCCUAAGCGGUUAAUGUGGGUGCAAUUCCUGCCGGGGGCACUA